rnacentral:antisense_RNA from 1 species
UGUUAUGGCAGCUGUGCGCGGGACACCUUCGGGUGUGCCGGGGUUGGGUGUGCCGGUCGGCCAACCCGCACACAGCUGCCACCUUU